rnacentral:rRNA from 1 species
AACGAACGCUGGCGGCGUGCCUAACACAUGCAGGUCGAACGAGAAAGGGGCUUCGGCUCCGAGUAAAGUGGCGCACGGGUGAGUAACACGUGGGUAACCUGCCUCUAAGAUUGGGAUAACUCGUCGAAAGAUGAGCUAAUACCGAAUAAGACCACAGUUCCCGCGGGAACAGGGGUCAAAGGUAGCCUCUGCUUGCAAGCUAUCACUUAGAGAUGGGCCUGCGCACCAUUAGCUAGUUGGUAGGGUAACGGCCUACCAAGGCAAAGAUGGUUAGCUGGUCUGAGAGGAUGAUCAGCCACACUGGAACUGAGACACGGUCCAGACUCCUACGGGAGGCAGCAGUGGGGAAUAUUGCGCAAUGGGCGAAAGCUUGACGCAGCAACGCCGCGUGAGUGAUGAAGGCCUUCGGGUCGUAAAGCUCUGUCGGGAGGAACGAAUGCUCCUGAGGUUAACAGCCUCGGGAGGUGACGGUACCUUCAAAGGAAGCACCGGCUAACUCUGUG